rnacentral:rRNA from 1 species
UACGUAGGGUGCAAGCGUUAAUCGGAGUUACUGGGCGUAAAGCGUGCGCAGGCGGUUGUGCAAGACAGAUGUGAAAUCCCCGGGCUCAAACUGGGAACUGCAUUUGUGACUGCACAGCUUGAGUGCGGCAGAGGGGGAUGGAAUUCCGCGUGUAGCAGUGAAAUGCGUAGAUAUGCGGAGGAACACCGAUGGCGAAGGCAAUCCCCUGGGCCUGCACUGACGCUCAUGCACGAAAGCGUGGGGAGCAAACAGG